rnacentral:lncRNA from 1 species
AAGUCUUGCCUUCAUUUGCAUUCAUCAAGGAAGGUUACGACACAUUCUGCAACCAUGCUGCCAGGUACAAAGAAACCAAAGGAAUUCUCAUCAACACAGUUGCAGAAUUCGAAAGUCACGCUGUCAAUAGUUUAGCAUCUGAUCCUGAACUACCUCCAGUGUACACAGUAGGACUUCUUCUUGACGCUGAGAACCAAAAACCUUCAACACAAGCAGCAGGAUCUCGUCCUGACCUUGAGAACCAAAAAGGUAAGGGCAAUUCUACGUCUGAAGAUGAAGAGAUCAUUAAAUGGCUAGACCAGCAGCCAACUGCCUCUGUUCUUUUUCUGUGCUUUGGAACCCUUGGUGUUUUUCAGCCACCACAGCUAGUCGAGAUGGCAAUUGCACUUGAACGAAGUGGUGUUAGGUUUGUGUGGUCAAUGCGUCUCCCUGCAAAUGCUGAAACUACAAAAUUAAAGGAGAUAUUGCCAGAAGGGUUCUUGUACCUAAUCGAAGUUUAAUUUACCAAUUACCGAAUUAAUGUUUAUAAGUAUGAUAUAUGGUAUUUACGUUCAAAUAUCGAUUAUCGAAUUAUCGAGUCUGAACUUUCAAAAUAUCAAACCGAAUACCAAACGCCCGCCCCUAAUUUCAACAAUAUCGAACCGAAUACCAAACGGUCACCCCUAAUUUGAAUAAUAUCCAAAUCUGUAGCCCUUAAACAUAUUAUUUUUAUUUCUUUUCUCUUUGCCGCUUAUCUCCAUCUCUUUCCUUCUUUGAUUCCGUGUAAUCGGUAAAAAAAAGUUGACCGUUUUCACUCUUAUUCAAUUCUAAAAUACAACCUUUGCUUCAAACUACGGCAAUCAAAUUCAAUUCAAUUACAAUUAAAUUUUUCUUUUCUUAUUCUUAUCACUAAUUAAUUAAAUAAAAUAGUAUAAUGACUCCUUAAUUAAUUAAUUUAAAUAGAAUUGAGGAGAUUUUUCUUUGUCAAGCCUGACCCAGUAGUCAAGAGACAAAAAACUGAGAUAUAUGACUUUGAUGUGACAAUGCAUUAUUAUUUUUUUUAUGUAAAACGUAAUAAAUUAUUAUGUUUUACAAUAUUUUUUGCAAAACGUAAUAAUUUAUUACGGUUUAUAAAAUAUUUUGUAAAACGUAAUAAUUUAUUACAUUUUAUAAAAAAUCAGCUCCGUUAGUUGACCGUUAGAAAAAAGUAAAAAACGUAAUAAUUUAUUACGUUUAGCCUAUUUUGAUUACUUAUUAAAAUUUUGGUCACUUCUUUGAUAACUUGACUUAUUUUGGUUCCGAGUUCUGCAAAUUAUAAGAUUUGAUGAAUUUUUUUUUAAUUUGAUUUUUGGUAGAUAUUUAAGAGAUUCUGUAUCAUCAUUUACUGUCCUAAAAUAAAUGCAAAUAUGUUACUUCCUUAUUUAAUAUGUAUCAAAAAGAAAAAGAAAAAUUCGAAAGAAAUGUAUUUUAAAAAAUAAAAGAUUUUAUGUAUUUAUACAUCUUUAAGUUUAUGUUUUAAUGUAAACUUUCCUUCAUUUUACCACAGUUAUUGUUGGGCUCCUCUAAAGACAACGCCAAAAUCAAAUUAUUACAUGUUGACAUUUUUUGAACGUGCAAAAUAACUAAGCCACCCGAGUCCCUUUGAGGCAUAUAUUUUUACCUUGUGCAUUUGAGGCAUAUAUUCAUUUUACCACAGUAAUUCUUGUUGAAGUGGUGUUGAGCUCGUUUAAAGAUAACGCCAAACCUGUUCUGCAACUAAAAUCACUCCAAAUUUUAGAAAAGGCAGAAGCACUACUAUAAAAACGUGGACACACCCAACAUAGACAUUAUUCUUGUAUGAUCAAACAAAAAUUUUCUUCUUGAAACAACACAAAAAUUUUCUUGUUCCAAAGAUGAGCAAAUUAGAGCUGGUAUUUGUGCCUACUCCAGCCGUUAGUCACCUAAUUUCGGUAUGCAAGUUUGCAGAGAAGUUGGUUAAUAGAGAUGAGAGGCUAUGUGCAACAUUUCUAAUUAUAAGGCCACCCCCACCAUUCGAUGCCAGCGUAGAUGCCUACAUCAAGCAAAAGUCCUCUGAUUCCCAGGGCAGUCGAAUUAGAUAUAUCACACUUGCCAAAGCCAAACCGCCACCUUCAGAUGAAAUAGGCAAGUCUAUUGAUAGGUACAUCUCUCUUUAUCUAGCAAAUUGUCGACCCCUCGUUAAGGAAGCAAUUAUCAGCAACAAGAGGCCUGAUUCGAAAAUUAUUGGACUAGUCUUUGAUAUGCUUUGCAGUUCAAUGAUUGAUGUAGCAAAUGAACUUGGCUUUCCUUCUUAUCUUUUCUUGGUUCAAAGUGCUGGUUUUCUUGGUUUCACGUUUUACAUGUCUAUUUGGCGUGACCAAGUCGGGAGAGAAUUUAACCAAUCUGAUGCUGAUGUAAAGAUACCAAUCUUUUCUCAUCCAGUACCCUCAAAAGUCUUGCCUUCAUUUGCAUUCAUCAAGGAAGGUUACGACACAUUCUGCAACCAUGCUGCCAGGUACAAAGAAACCAAAGGAAUUCUCAUCAACACAGUUGCAGAAUUCGAAAGUCACGCUGUCAAUAGUUUAGCAUCUGAUCCUGAACUACCUCCAGUGUACACAGUAGGACUUCUUCUUGACGCUGAGAACCAAAAACCUUCAACACAAGCAGCAGGAUCUCGUCCUGACCUUGAGAACCAAAAAGGUAAGGGCAAUUCUACGUCUGAAGAUGAAGAGAUCAUUAAAUGGCUAGACCAGCAGCCAACUGCCUCUGUUCUUUUUCUGUGCUUUGGAACCCUUGGUGUUUUUCAGCCACCACAGCUAGUCGAGAUGGCAAUUGCACUUGAACGAAGUGGUGUUAGGUUUGUGUGGUCAAUGCGUCUCCCUGCAAAUG